ACGCCUGUCAGACGGCCCCUUUGCUCACGCGCAUAAUAAAACCCUUCUAAUUUCUCUCCUGCUCGUUUCUGCGCGCUCUCCCCUCUCGUCGCUCAUCUCCUCCCCUCUCUCCUGCUGAUGCGAUCCUCUCUCUCCUCUCCUCACUCUUCUCUCUCGCCGGAGACGACCAUUACCAUGUCGGAAAUUUCCGAGGAGCUCCUCCUUGCAGUUCCUCGUUGUCCCUCCUAGCUGCCUUGAGAUUUCAGUCGGUGAUAUCGACGGAAGAAUCAACGGCGGUGGCGGCUGAGUGUCGAAGGACGGAGGAGAGACGUGGGGAGCAGAGGCGGCGGUUCGCAUCCUCACAAAGUUGCGCUGGUGGUCGAUGCUGUUGUUAAUGGCCUCCUCGCAAAGAUGCGCGGUUGUGGCUGGUUCACGACAACAGUUAUGGUAGCAGCGCUGCUGCUUCUUCAGUACGGGGUGGUGUUAGCUUGCUGUGGUGGAAUUGUUGAGGCCGCGCCAUGGUGUUAGCUUGCUGUGAUUUUGUUUUUAGCUUUGUAAUUUUUUCUUUUACCUGCUUUUUUUGUUGAUAAAGAGGGCAAAGCCCCAAUUUCUUUUCUCUGGUUGGUGUUUUAAUUUCGAUUUACUUAUCAAUUCGAUUAGUUAUCAAUUAUAUUGUUUUAGUUAUAGUUUUGUUAUAUUUAGUUACGAAAUGAAACGCUUUAUUUAUAUUUUUUUA